UACGAAGGGUGCGAGCGUUAUUCGGAAUAACUGGGCGUAAAGGGUGCGCAGACGGCGCAUUAAGUCAACUGUUUAAUUUCCCGGCCUAACCGGGAACCAGCAGUAGAAACUGAUGUGCUCGAGGAUGGAAGAGAGAAGUGGAAUUCUCGGAGUAGCGGUAAAAUGCGUAGAUCUCGAGAGGAACACCGAUGGCGAAGGCAGCUUCUUGGUCCAUUCCUGACGUUCAUGCACGAAAGCGUGGGGAGCAAACAGG
rnacentral:misc_RNA from 1 species